ACCUAUGAACUCGUACUUUUUAUCGCGCACGCACAGAACGCGAUCAGCUUUGGUAUUAGCUCAUCUGUCAAUCGCGUCUUCUCGCGCGACACUGCCACGGGCAUAUAACGUCAUAUCUGCGCACACGCGGGGAAUAAGGAAGAGAUGGAGAUCACUCACUUUAUAUUUAGAUCGAACAUUCGCGAGACGCUCGACAAUGUCGCGCGAUUGGUCAAUUUUACACGCUGAGCCCUUUUGUCUUGGCCUCACGCAACGCGCAUUCACUCUCUGCAAGAGAGCCAAGUGUAGUUGAUUGCGCGCGUUUUGUCUCUGCCAAAGACGCGCCUUGCACGCUAGAUUUGUGCGUUUUCGCGCGCAUCAUGCGUGACACGCUGAAAACGCGGUACCUAGAGCCCAGCAUGGAUUUCCAGGCUCGCAGGAUGAUGAGAUUACUUUGAGACUCGAUCCUCUUAAACGUAACGAGACUGUAGAUGGCCCAUGAAGGUUUGGUUGUUGACUUGGCACCUGGUGCCACCUUUUGACCAGCAGUUGCUGGUCCUUUCUGACCGGUAGUCCCUUUUUGAUUGACAUGCCCAACUCCAUCUGCCGGUUUG